CUCCCCAGAUCCCAGGCCUCCUGCCUCCAGUCCCCAGCCCGCAGCCCAGGAUUAGGCAGAGCCAGCUGCUUUCCCGUGGCUGCCCUGACUCCUUACAGGGAUCACUGAGAUUCUGAUGAACAGACCUUCUGCCCGCAAUGCCUUGGGGAAUGUCUUCGUCAGUGAGCUGCUGGAAACUCUGGCCCAGCUGCGGGAGGACCGGCAAGUGCGUGUCCUGCUCUUCAGAAGUGGAGUGAAGGGCGUGUUCUGUGCAGGUGCAGACCUGAAGGAGCGGGAACAGAUGAGUGAAGCAGAGGUGGGGGUGUUUGUCCAGCGACUCCGGGGCCUGAUGAAUGACAUCGGUGAGGAUCUGGGUGUGGGGUGGAGGAGG
rnacentral:lncRNA from 1 species